UACGUAGGGUGCGAGCGUUGUCCGGAAUUAUUGGGCGUAAAGAGCUUGUAGGCGGUUUGUCGCGUCGACUGUGAAAACCCGAGGCUUAACCUCGGGCCUGCAGUCGAUACGGGCAGACUAGAGUUCGGUAGGGGAGACUGGAAUUCCUGGUGUAGCGGUGAAAUGCGCAGAUAUCAGGAAGAACACCCGUGGCUAAGGCGGCUCUCUAGUACGGUACUGACGCUGAGACGCGAAAGCGUGGGGAGCGAACAGG
rnacentral:rRNA from 1 species